rnacentral:rRNA from 1 species
CACGGAUAACAUACCGAAAGGUAUGCUAAUACGGGAUAAUAUAUUUGAGAGGCAUCUCUUAAAUAUCAAAGGUGAGCCAGUACAGGAUGGACCCGCGUCUGAUUAGCUAGUUGGUAAGGUAACGGCUUACCAAGGCGACGAUCAGUAGCCGACCUGAGAGGGUGAUCGGCCACAUUGGAACUGAGACACGGUCCAAACUCCUACGGGAGGCAGCAGUGGGGAAUAUUGCACAAUGGGCGAAAGCCUGAUGCAGCAACGCCGCGUGAGUGAUGAAGGCCUUCGGGUCGUAAAACUCUGUCCUCAAGGAAGAUAAUGACGGUACUUGAGGAGGAAGCCCCGGCUAACUACGUGCCAGCAGCCGCGGUAAUACGUAGGGGGCUAGCGUUAUCCGGAUUUACUGGGCGUAAAGGGUGCGUAGGCGGUCUUUCAAGUCAGGAGUGAAAGGCUACGGCUCAACCGUAGUAAGCUCUUGAAACUGGGAGACUUGAGUGCAGGAGAGGAGAGUGGAAUUCCUAGUGUAGCGGUGAAAUGCGUAGAUAUUAGGAGGAACACCAGUUGCGAAGGCGGCUCUCUGGACUGUAACUGACGCUGAGGCACGAAAGCGUGGGGAGCAAACAGGAUUAGAUACCCUGGUAGCCCACGCUGUAAACGAUGAGUACUAGGUGUCGGGGGUUACCCCCCUCGGUGCCGCAGCUAACG